rfam:Nitrososphaera viennensis EN76, complete genome.
GCCGGGGUAGCUCAGCUUGGUUAGAGCGUACGACUCAUAAUCGUAAGGUCGCGGGCUCAAAUCCCGCCUCCGGCA